rnacentral:rRNA from 1 species
CAGGCUUAACACAUGCAAGUCGAGGGGCCUUUGGUCUUAGCUUGCUAAGGCCGAUGGCGACCGGCGCACGGGUGAGUAACGCGUAUCCAACCUGCCUUACACUCUUGGACAGCCUUCUGAAAGGGAGAUUAAUACAAGAUGUUAUCAUGAGUAAGCAUUUUCGCAUGAUUAAAGGUUUACCGGUGUAAGAUGGGGAUGCGUUCCAUUAGAUAGUAGGCGGGGUAACGGCCCACCUAGUCUUCGAUGGAUAGGGGUUCUGAGAGGAAGGUCCCCCACAUUGGAACUGAGACACGGUCCAAACUCCUACGGGAGGCAGCAGUGAGGAAUAUUGGUCAAUGGACGAGAGUCUGAACCAGCCAAGUAGCGUGAAGGAUGAAGGUUCUAUGGAUUGUAAACUUCUUUUAUACGGGAAUAAACGAAUCCACGUGUGGAUUUUUGCAUGUACCGUAUGAAUAAGGAUCGGCUAACUCCGUGCCAGCAGCCGCGGUAAUACGGAGGAUCCGAGCGUUAUCCGGAUUUAUUGGGUUUAAAGGGAGCGUAGAUGGGUUGUUAAGUCAGUUGUGAAAGUUUGCGGCUCAACCGUAAAAUUGCAAUUGAUACUGGCAGUCUUGAGUACAGUUGAGGUAGGCGGAAUUCGUGGUGUAGCGGUGAAAUGCUUAGAUAUCACGAAGAACUCCGAUUGCGAAGGCAGCUUACUAACCUGUAACUGACAUUGAUGCUCGAAAGUGUGGGUAUCAAACAGGAUUAAAUUCCCUGGUAGUCCACACGGUAAACGAAGGAUACUCGCUGUAGGCGAUAUACAGUCUGCGGCCAAGCGAAAAGCAUUAGUAUUCCCCCUGGGGAGUACGCCGGCAACGGUGAAACUCAAAGGAAUUGACGGGGGCCCGCACAAGCGGAGGAACAUGUGGUUUAAUUCGAUGAUACGCGAGGAACCUUACCCGGGCUUAAAUUGCAACCGAAUAUGGCGGAAACGCUAUAGCUAGCAAUAGCGGUUGUGAAGGUGCUGCAUGGUUGUCGUCAGCUCGUGCCGUGAGGUGUCGGCUUAAGUGCCAUAACGAGCGCAACCCUUGCCGAUAGUUACUAACAGGUUAUGCUGAGGACUCUGUCGGGACUGCCAUCGUAAGAUGUGAGGAAGGUGGGGAUGACGUCAAAUCAGCACGGCCCUUACGUCCGGGGCUACACACGUGUUACAAUGGGGGGUACAGAGGGCUGCUACCACGCAAGUGGAUGCCAAUCCCAAAAACCUCUCUCAGUUCGGAUUGAAGUCUGCAACCCGACUUCAUGAAGCUGGAUUCGCUAGUAAUCGCGCAUCAGCCACGGCGCGGUGAAUACGUUCCCGGGCCUUGUACACACCGCCCG